CUACGGGACGCAGCAGUGAGGAAUAUUGCACAAUGGGGGAAACCCUGAUGCAGCAACGCCGCGUGGAGGAUGACGCAUUUCGGUGUGUAAACUCCUUUUAUAUGUCAAGGAAAUGACGGUAGCAUAUGAAUAAGCACCGGCUAACUCCGUGCCAGCAGCCGCGGUAAUACGGAGGGUGCAAGCGUUAUUCGGAAUCACUGGGCGUAAAGGAAGCGUAGGCGGGUUUUUAAGUCAGGUGUGAAAUCCUACAGCUUAACUGUAGAACUGCACUUGAAACUACUGACCUAGAGUAUGGGAGGGGGAGAUGGAAUUAGUGGUGUAGGGGUAAAAUCCGUAGAUAUCACUAGGAAUACCUAAAGCGAAGGCGAUCUCCUGGAACAUUACUGACGCUAAGGCGUGAAAGCGUGGGGAGCAAACAGGAUUAGAUACCCGGGUAGUC
rnacentral:rRNA from 1 species